UACAGAGGUCUCGAGCGUUGUUCGGAUUCAUUGGGCGUAAAGGGCGCGUAGGCGGCGGGGUAAGUCUGGUGUGAAAUCUCGGAGCUCAACUCCGAAAUUGCACUGGAUACUGCUCUGCUAGAGGCUGGAGAGGAGAUCGGAAUCACGGUGUAGCAGUGAAAUGCGUAGAUAUCGUGAGGAAGACCAGUGGCGAAGGCGGGAUCUCUGGACACGCUCCUGACGCUGAGGCGCGAAGGCGUAGGGGAGCAAACGGG
rnacentral:rRNA from 1 species